CGCCCUCGUGUUGAGCGUCUCGUUCAGAUUGGUCACGUUAUUGUUGAUGUGGUUGUUGUUGAUAUUAUUGGUCGUGCGGGUCGAAUUGUUGUUGCUCGAAUGAUGAUUCGAGUUGUUUCCAUUGUUGUGCUUAUUGUGCUUGUGCAACACCAUAGCGACGAACAUUUUGGCCUCCUUUCCCGACCGGUUGGUCGUCAAACGAUUUAUCGUCCUUUCAGCGAUCCGCAAUUUCAUUCGUUGUCACGGUGCAUUCGCGUAAACUGAAACACCGUGAGCGCCGAUGCCGAUUCGUCCUCAGGGCUCUUAGGACGAAUCCAUCCGCUGCUCACGCACUGCUGCGUACACCCCCCGACAAAAAAGGCGAUCGGAGCACUUCACGGCGGGGGUGUUGCGUACUGAAUGACGGGGUGCGCGUAUACGUGUCUUGCGGAGCAGUCGCGCGUCGACUGAAGGCUCCCUUACGAGCAACGAAUUCACAUAGGAACGACAACGGCGACGCCACGACGCAACCAACCAACCCUUACCAGCCAG
rnacentral:misc_RNA from 1 species